GCCCCUGUAGGCCAAUCGGCAGAGCCAGUGCACUCAAAAUGCAUACAGUGUGGGUUCGAGUCCCACCAGGGGCA
rnacentral:tRNA from 9 species